UACUGCAAUACAAUGGUAAGAUUAGUGAGUUGUUUUUUAGGUUAAGACAAAUUUUAGCUACUUUAUAGGGUUUGGCCGUUAGACAUAAAUAAAUUAUAACUAAAAGACACAAUCAAUUAAACAGAUCUCGAUAUUGAUACAUUUAGUAUGAAUAAGAGUAUCAAAUUCGAGAUCCGUUGAACUGUUUGCAAUGAAUCAUCUCUUAUAAUAACUUUUAAAGAAAAAAUAUGAUCAUGAUAAUCAAAUUUCAAUCAUUUUAAUUAAUUUCAAUGCUUAUUGGACAUUUCCACCAACUUGCCAGGUUAUGUAAGUUUUAAAUACUUAAAAUCCUUAUGCAAUGCGUUGUAGUCCAAUAGUCAGUGAUAGGAAUUAAGAGGAGAUGAAUUGUAGAAGACAAUGGAAGAAUGAUUUGUGCAAUGGAACCAUGAUUUGUGCAAUGGAACCGUGGUUCAAUCCACUGGAUUCCUUAUCCUUUUAUAACAACAAAUAGAUCUCAACAACCCACACUUGUGAGCACUAACUAACUAAUUCUAUUUAACUAAUUACAGUUUUAUAUUUACACUAAUACACCCCUCAAUCCUGUGAGAAUGGUCUCACAAGAUUGAUUCGUUGUUGCGCAAAUCCUUUAGGUGAUAAUGCUUUAGUAAGCAAAUCCGCUUUUUGUAAUGUUCCCGGAAUAUGAGAUAUGUGUACCGAGCCUGCAUCAAUUCUUUCCCUAACAUACUUAAGAUCAAUCGCGACAUGCUUUAGUUUGGAGUGACAUGCCGAAUUUGUAGCUAGAAAAACCGCACCUCGAUUGUUUGACUUUAGUGCAAUUGGGAUUUUUACACCGACUCCCAAUUCCACUAGUAGAUUCUUGACCCACUCUAACUCUUGAAUAGUUGUGGCGAUGACUCUAUAUUCCGAUUCGGUGCUCAAACGUGAGACCGUACUUUGCUUACGAGAACUCAACGCAACCAAUGUAUUAUCGAUGUAUAUUAAAUAUCUCGUUUGACUUUUUCGAUCAAUUUUAUCUCCGGCCCAAUCGGCAUCGCAAUAUCAUGUAAUUGUGAAAUCGUUAACUUUCCCGAGUGUAAUACCCCAAGAUUGAGUACGCGAAAGGUAUCUAAGCACUUUCUUCAUAGCCGUCCAGUGGAGAGGCUUUGGGGAGGACAUGAAUUGCGACAACUUAUUAACUGCAAAUUGAAUGUCCGGUCUUGUCAACGUGAGAUAUUGAAGUGAGCCAACGAUACGUCGAUACUCUGUAACUUGUUCUAUCGGUGUUUCAUCGGAGUAGAGAUCUUGAUUGGUCAACAUAGGUGUAGUUGAUGGCUUCAUAUUGUCGGGAUUAAUUCCCUUGAGUAAAUUCACCAGGUAUUGAGUUUGGCACAGAUGUAAUCCAUCCUUUGCCUUUCUAACUUGAAUUCCCAAGAAGUACGAGAUGCACCCGAGCUUUCGUACUGCAAAUUCUUUACCUAGUCGAUCCAUUACUUUUUCCACGGUGGAUUCAUCAGAGCCGGUGAUAACGAUAUCAUCGACAUAUAUAAACAGAUAUGUCUUGCACUCAAUAGGAUUAGUCUUGUAUAAUAAAAAUAAUGAUGGAUCCGAGUAGCUUUGAAUAAACCCCAAUGUGAUCAGAAAUUGUCGAAGCCGUUUAAACCACAUCCUCAACGCUUGUUUUAAACCGUACAAAGCCUUAUUCAGUAGGCAAACGUGAUCUGGAAAAUUCUGAUCAAUAAAUCCCAUAGGCUGCUGUAUAAUGAUUCUUUCUUCGAUAUCCCCAUGCAAAAAUGCAUUGGAAAUAUCAAGUUGAGAGAGUUUCCACGAAUUCGAGACUGCGAUGGUAAGGACCAAUUGGAUAGUCAGGAUAAUUGGCUUCAAACAAUUGACCCAGGUUCGACAGAUCUACAAUGCAAUGGUCAAAUCAGUGAGUGUUAUUUAUCAGUUUGUGAACAAAUUUUUGAUGCUUUAUAGGGUUUGACAUGAAUGAAUUAUAACUAAAAGGCACACAAACAAUUUUUCAACAAAUGUAAAAAAAACUGAGAUAUACGAAGAUAUCUUUUAAAGAAAAAUUAUGAUUCUAACAAUCAGAUCUCAGUCAUUUCAAUUAUUUUCACCAAGUUAUGUAAGUUUUAAAUUCGCACAAGCAAUGCGUUUGUAGUCCAACGGUCAGGAUAAUUGCCUUCCAAGCAAUAGACCCAGGUUCGACUCCCGGCAAACGCAAAUGAUGAUAAUGCUUUCGUAUUUUUGAAUUUUGAAAUAAUAUUUCUAUAUGAUAUGGGAUAAUGCCAAAGACGUGAAAUUAUAUAUUUAUCAAUUGAUGUUUUCAUAUUUUUUGAAUUUGGAAACAAUAUUUCUAUAUGAUAUGUAAUAAUGCCAAAAACGUGAAAUAUAUAUAUUUAUCAAUUGAUGAAAGAAACCAUGUAUGAUACUGCAAAUAUGCAAUGCAAUGGUCAAAUCAGUGAGUGUUAUAUAUCAGUUUGUGAAUAAAUUUUUAAAUACUUUAUAGGGUUUGACAUGAAUAAAUUAAAACUAAAAAGUAGACAAACAAUUUUUCAAAAAAAUGUAACAAAACUGAGAUAUACGAAGAUAUCUUUUAAAGAAAAAUUAUGAUUCUAACAAUCAGAUUUCAGUCAUUUUAAUUAUUUUCAAUGCUUAUUGGGCAUUGCAACCAACUCACCAAGUCAUGUAAGUUUUAAAUUCAUAACACUCAAGCAAUGCGUUUGUAGUCCAACGGUCAGGAUAAUUGCCUUCCAAGCAAUAGACCCGGGUUCGACUCCCGGCAAACGCAUAUGAUAAUAUUGUUUUCAUAUUUUUGAAUUUGGAAACAAUAUUUCUAUAUGAUAUGUAAUAAAGUAAAAGACUAUGAUUUGUAAUAAAGUAAAAGACUAUGAUUUGUAAUAAAGUAAAAGACUAUGUCAGAUUGAAACUCAAGCCAUAACUCUAUGGGAGUCCAACCUCUUGAGGCACCAGUCCCUGGCUAGUUAGUCAUGGUCACAACUAUAUAAGAGAACGACAAUGCUCUUACAUGUUUUUACUUUAUAUCUAUAUCUUAUGUAUUUGCAUUUCCCUAAAAUAUGCAAUAUUGGGCUCUGCCCUACUCUAAAUUCAGCAAUGAAAGCUUAAAUCAAUAAAAAAAUAUUCUAUUGACAUAUUAUAUAUAUAUUUAUCAAUUGAUGAAAGAAACCAUAUAUGAUACUGUAAAUCUGCAAUGCAAUGGUCAGAUUAAUGAGUGUUAUUUAUUAGUCUGUGAACAAAUUUUUAGAUACUUUAUAGGGCUUGACAUGAAUAAAUUAUAACUAAAAAGCACACAAACUAUUUUUUAAAAAAUGUAACAAAACAGAGAUAUACGAAAACUUUUAAAGAAAAUUUAUUAUUUUAACAAUUAGAUUUCAGUCAUUUUAAUUAUUUUCAAUGCUUAUUGGGCAUUGCGACCAACUCGCCAAGUUAUGAAUUUUAAAUUCGCAACACUCUCAAGUAAUGCGUUUGUAGUCCAACGGUCAGGAUAAUUGCCUUCCAAGCAAUAGACCCGGGUUCGACUCCCGGCAAACGCAAAUGACAAUAAUGUUUUCAUAUUUUUUAAAUUUGGAAACAAUAUUUCUAUAUGAUAUGUAAUAAUGCCAAAGACGUGAAAUAUAUAUAUUUAUCAAUUGAUGAAAGAAACCAUAUAUGAUACUGCAAAUCUGUAACGCAAUGGUCAGAUCACUGAGUGUUAUCUAUCAGUCUAUGAACAAAUUUUUAGAUACUUUAUAGGGUUUGACAUGAAUAAAUUAUAACUAAAAAGCACACAAUUUUUCAAAAAAUGUAAAAAAACUGAGAUAUGCGACGAUAACUUUUAAAGAAAAAUUAUGAAUCUAAUAAUCAGUUUCAGUCAUUUCAAUUAUUUUCAAUGCUUAUUGGGCAUUGCGACCAACUCACCAAGUUAUGUAAGUUUUAAAUUCACAACACUCUCAAGCAAUGCGUUUGUAGUCCAACGGUCAGGAUAAUUGCCUUCCAAGCAAUAGACCCGGGUUCGACUCCCGGCAAACGCAGAUGAUAAUAAUGUUUUCAUGUUUUUUGAAUUUGGAAACAAUAUUUCUAUAUGAUAUGUAAUAAUGCCAAAGACGUGAAAUAUAUAUAUUUAUCAAUUGAUGAAAUAAACUAUAUAUGAUACUGCAAAUCUGCAAUGCAAUGGUCAGAUUAGUGAUUUUAUUUAUUUGUUUGUUAACAAAUUUGUAAAUACUUUAUAAGGUUUGACAUGAAUAAAUUAUAACUAAAAAGUAAACAAACAAUUUUUCAAAAAAUGUAACAAAACUGAGAUAUACGAUAACUUUUAAAGAAAAAUUAUGAUUUUAACAAUCAGAUUUCAGUCAUUUUAAUUAUUUUCAAUGCUUAUUGGGCGUUGUGACAACCACACCAAGUUAUGUAAGUUUUAAAUUCGCAAGACUCUCAAGCAAUGCGUUUGUAGUCCAACGGUCAGGAUAAUUGCCUUCCAAGCAAUAGACCCGGGUUCGACUCCCGGCAAACGCAAAUAAUAAUAUGGUUUCCUUUUAUUUUGAAUUUGAAAACAAAAUUUCUAUAUGAUAUGCAAAAAACGUGAAAUAGUUAUAUCUAUAUCUAUCUAUAUAUAAUAAUAUAGGGCAAGGAUCACAUCCCAUUGUUCUCGUAUAUUGAGUUCUCAUGUAUUUUUAACCAUCCAUGUGACUCGAGAUAAGCACACCUCGAGAUAUAUGGUAAAUAAGGAUAUGUUUGCAUAUCCUCCCAAACAAGGCACAUGGAUAGCUAGGAUCAUAUGUUCUCACUAGUUCUCAAUUUCUGAUCCAAUGAGUUCUCAUGUUUAUACUUCUAUAUAUCUUAGUUUUAUACUUCUAUAUAUACAUAUUUAUUCAUUGGAGAAAGAAACAAUUGCAAUGCAAUCGUGAGAUUCUUGGGGUAUUGCUUAGUUUAUGAACAAAUAUACAUGUGUUUCACAUAUAGAAGUUAAAAACAUUAACAUACAAACAAUUUUUCAAAUAAAAUACCAAAAUUGAAAUCAUUAUGAUUUUUUAAAGAAAAACUAAAAUCAUUCCAUUCAGAUUUUAGUUGUUUCGAUUUUUUAUUCUAAAGAAAUCAUGUGAGUAUGUGACUAUGUGGGUAUUUGCAUUCACAAAGCUCUCAAGCAAUGCGUUUGUAGUCCAACGGUCAGGAUAAUUGCCUUCCAAGCAAUAGACCCGAGUUCAACUUCCGGCAAACGCAAAUGAUAAUAUUGUUUUUUAUAUAUUUUAGUUAACUUGAAAAUAAUUUGAUUUCUAUAAGAUAUGCAAAAGACGUGUGAAAUAUACAUAUAUAUAUACACCAAAUAUCAGGCACGGUACCGUGCCUCACCGGUCACCGAACGGUACCGUGCCUGGAUACCGUUCAAUUCACGCGUUCAAAAUCAUGACCGUUCAUUUCAUAGAUCAAAAAAGCGGAAAGCGCUCCCAAUUUCCAGGGAGCGCUUUUUUAGCUUUAACCGCUUUAGCGACGCUUUAACCGCUUUAGCUUUAACCGCUUUUUUAGUUAUUUUAAUUAUUUCCAAUGCUUGUCGGGCAUUGCCACCAACUCGCCAAGUGACUAUGUAACAUGAAAUAUAAAGGGCAAGGAUUACAUGAGAACCAGUGUGUAUGUUCCCACUGUUUCUCAUCUAAUGAGUUCUCAUAUGAUCUUAAUCAUCGUCCUUGUAUUUCAAGAUAAGCACGCCUCAAGAUAUGUGGUGAACAAGAAUAUGUUUAUGCAUAUUCCAAAGCACAUGGAUAGUUAGAAUCACAUGCUCUCACUGAUUCUCAUCCAAAGAGUUUUCAUGUGAUCUUGGUUAAUAUAUAUAUUUAUUCAAUGGAGAAAGAAAUAAUUGCAAAUUUGCAAUGUAAUGGUGAGAUUUUUGAGGUAUUGCUUAGUUUAUGAACAAAGAUCGCAUAAAUAAUCAGCUACUUUUUGUCCUCCUUGGGGUCUACAUUGGUAUGCUUUAGGAGCCUUGGCACAUCUUAACUGAAAGAAGAGGAGAUUGUUGUAACAUACCACAACCUCCAGAAACCAUUUUGCAGGAAAUUAUCAGGGACAUUGGGCUUUCUUAUAGGCUGAGACCUUCAAGAAAGACUGUUGAUCCAAUAUGGAAGAGACUACGAUGCAUGUUUGGGAGACCAACCUCCUGGGACAAUACACCUAGUUAUAUCACUUAAAUCAAUGGAAAAGUAUCGAUAGGAUUGUUCCUAUCUCCCUUAAGUUUAUUUUUAUAGUGAUAUAGUCUACCUUUAUCUCUUUCUAUUUGUAAUUCAGGCUCUGCCCUUCAUUUUCAAUGAAAAUAUUUAACUCUUGAAUAAAAAACAGCUACUUUAACUGUGUUUGAUUAACGUGUACAAGUUAAAACUAAGAAGUUAAAAACUUACAAACAUUUUUUCAAACAAAAUACCAAAAUUGAAAUUACUGUCCUUUUUUAAUGAAAAACUAAUAUUAUGAGAUUCAGAUUUUAGUUGUUUCGAUUUUUUAUAUUUAAGAGGUCAUAUAUGAUUGUGUGAAUGUUUGAAUUCACAAACCUUCCAAGCAAUGCGUUUGUAGUCCAACGGUCAGGAUAAUUGCCUUCCAAGCAAUAGACCCGGGUUCGACUCCCGGCAAACGCAAAUGAUAAUAUUGUUUUUAUAUUUUGGUUAACAAGAUUUGCCAGACAUGUGAAACAUAUAUAUUUAUCUAUUAAUGAAAGAAAGCACAUGCAAUCUUGCAAUACAAUGGUCGAAUUCAUGAGGUAUUGCUUAGUUUAUGAACAAAUAUUCAGCUAUUUUAUAUUAUUAUAUGGGUGAUUAUUUUGGUUAACAGCAUAUGUCAAAGACAUGUGAAACAUAUAUAUUAUUAUAUUUAUCUAUUGACGAAACUUGAAAGUAACCACAUGUAAUCUUACAAUGCAAUGGUCGGGCAUAUGAGGUAUUGCUUGAUUUAUGAACAAAAAUAUUCAGCUACUUUAUAUUAUUAUAUGGGUGAUUAUUUUGGUUAACAAGAUAUGCCAAAGGCAUCUUAAAUAUUGAUGUCCAGAUGUCCUUGUAAAAAAAGCUUAUCGAUUUGAAGCUUUUUAUCAUUGUCAUGAAUCUUAUAAAAUUUAUGCAAAAAAUAGAAUAGAAAAAAUAAUCUGAUCCUAGGAGUCGAAUGGCUUUAAAUGUUGGGCCAAGUCUUAUUUAAUUAUCAAGCACAAACACUAUCAUACCUGAUAACCUCACCGAUGACCACCUACAAACUAUAAAAGGAAUCCUAAUCACAGAUAGCCCGGUCAAUCAAACAAAUUUGAUCCGAGGUAUGGUCAAUAAUGAUAUUCAAAAUCUUUUCUACAUCAAAAUUAAUUCAGUAUCCGACGGUCAACCUAGUUACACCAAAGACACAAAUCUCCAUCCAGCAGUUCAGAUUAUUUUGGAUACAUUUGCGGACUCCUUUGUAUCGCCCCAUGAAUUACCUCGACAACGACCAUCAAACCACCAUAUUACAUCUAGAUGCGGGACCGGUGAAAGUCCGACCUUACAAAUACAUGUUCUUUGAAAAACGAAAAUCACCAAACUAGUCGAACAUAUGAUGAAAGAAGGUAUCAUACAACCUGGUAAUUCUCCGUUUCACCUGGCACCUUUGAACUAUUUGAAGUAUCCUAUAGUUGUUCAGGCAGUUGAUGCACUUAUCUAUUAAAUCUUUGUUGGCUAUUAUAGUUUUCCACAUAUGGGAAUCUAGGGUGAGUCUAAUAUCAAUUUUCCCUAGUCCUCUACCUUUUAUAUAUCUAAGUCUGACACAAUCAGCUAGAAUAGAGGUGUUUGAACUCCACAUUUUUUCCACUUUUUUUUUUUUUGAGAAAUUAAAACUUUUAUUACUAAAAAAGAGGUUGGGCAAAGCCCAAGAUUACAGAAUAAUAUAGGGAAAUAUAAGUACAGUAAAUGUAAAAACAUUGUCUAUCUCUUAUGCAGCUAUGACCCUGACUAACUGGUCAAGGAUUGAAGCCACAAGAGGUUGAACUCCCAUGAGCGUAUAACUUGUAUUUCAAUCUGUGAGAGAUUGUGCUUUUUAUAGGAUGUAGAAUCAUAUGCAAUGCUCACAUCCUUUAUAAUUUCUCUGCUGACAAUUUCUGGGGGCCUUAGGGUGUGUUGUUUUAAUCUCCUGUUCCUUUCACACCAUAUGUACCAGGAAAAAGAUGCUAGCAUAGUCCAGUGUACCCCCCAACAACUGGACUUGUGGGUGAAUUUUUGUAUUGUUUCCAUAAUAUCUCCUAUCCUAAUAUCUAUUGCGGGAGAUAGGGGAUUUUGCCCACUAAGUGUCCAAACAGCAUUAUUAAGACAGCUAGUGAUCUCUAGCAAUAGGGAUUUAGUGUAAUGACAGUUAAAGUAUAGGUGUUGUAAUGUUUUUUCCUCAUUUCCACAUAGUGGGCAGGACGUAUUUAUGUUGAGUCCCCAGCUUUGCAGUCUAGUUAAAGUGUUCAGAUUUUUUACCUUAAUUCUCCACAACAACAUAGAAAAUUUAGGAGGCUUUUUGGCCCAGAUUCCUAGAUUUAUCUCUUGUAAGAUGCCUUUGGGCCUUAAUGUUUCUGAGUGUUUGGAGGGGGCAAUUUGUGUGACCCUAUAGUUACUCAAGCAGUUUAUACAUUUCCUUAUUAGCUAGUAUAGUUUUCCACAUGUGAGAGUCCAGAGUGGGUCUACACUCUAUCUCCCCAAUGCUUCUUCCUUUGAUGUACCUAAUUUUUAUCCAGUCUGCUAGUAUGGAGUUAUUAGGACUCCACAUCCUCUCUGUUCUUUUAACCAAAGCUGAAGCAUUAGUUGCAAAGAAAUUCCUGACCCCUAUUCUGCCUUCGCUCUUUGGGAGUACUAUUUUUUCCCAACUACUCCCUCUUCUCCCGUCCCAAAUGAAAUUGUAAGCUAGGCUCUGGAUCUUCUUAAUAACUGUGCAUGGCAGUGUGGUUCCGUUUGCCCAGUAUUGAAACUUACCUUGUAAGACCCAAUUUACUAAUUGGGUUCUGCCUGCGUAAGACAGACAUCUCCCUUUCCAUCUGGCUAACAUUUUUUCUAUUGGAUUUAUUAACUUCCAACAUGUCGCGUGGGAUUUCUUUCUUCCCUCUAUUGGGAGACCAAGAUAGUUGAUAGGGAGGGAUUUAGUUGGAAAGUUGAGAAUGUUAUGCAGAUAAUGGUCAUUCAUGCAUACUUUUGAGUAGGUUGCCGAGCAUUUUUUCCACUCUUUUCACCAGUUGCAAAUCUAUUAACUUCAAACAAACAUCAUGCAUUUUCUUUCUACCCGUUAUUGGAAGGCCAAGAUAGUAGGAAGUGGUUUGGUUGGGAAAUUAAGUAUAUUAUGUAACUCUUGAUCAUUAGUACGUACAUACUUUAGAGUAGGUUGCUGAACUUUUAUCCUGGUUAACCUCAAGUCCGGAGAACUUGGAAAAGGUAUCCAAAAUGCUUUUGAUAGGCCUCAAGGAUUUGAUGUUAGCCUUGGAAAAAAUUAAGACAUCAUCAGCAUACAUGAGAUGAGAGAUGGAGACAACCCCAUUAACUAUGUAUGUCUCCAUCCUCUUGUCCUUUCUCCUUUUCUAUUAGUCUACUGAGAUUAUCCAUUACCAGAUACUUCACAACAAUUAUGUUCCAAUGAUAUUAGUCUAAUCUGAAUAUCGGAGCAAUCAAAAUAAGAAAAACAAUUAAGACCAGAGAAUAAGAACACGCAAUAUUUUAUAGUUGUUUCACCCAAGAAUAGUGUACCUCCACCUGGUGAUUUCUAUUGAUAGUAGCUAUUCUAUUACACUCGUAGAAAUUGAGAUUAGGUUUUCAGCACUAUAAUAAUAGUAUAUAUAGUGUAAUAUUAACUUGGAUUCCAAAUUAAUGACUCAUAAUUGGCCCAAUAAGGGUACCAAUUAAGUGGUCUCCAAUACCACUUAUAACUCCCAUUAACUGCAUAAACCUUAACAAUCUCCCACUUGGAGACUAUUUGCUACCACCAUCACCAACUCCUUUUCAUCAACGAUCUAGGAGUCCAGCCAAGGCCAUACACAACCUUAGCUUCCCGAUGCUAAUGACUUUAGUGAGCUGUGAGCAUAUUAGUAACAUUCUGAUCUCCUGCUAAUCUUUCUCAGAUCCAAAUCUCCCUUCUCAAUCAGUUUCCUGAUAAAAUGAUAUUUGUGUUUGAUAUGUUUGAUGUGUUUAGACCUGGAAUAAAAUUUAGGAUUCUUGGCCAAAUAAAUUGCACUUUGGCUGUCACAGAACAAAACAAAUUUCUUCUGUCCAAAACCCAAUUCAGUGAGUAACCCUUCCUGCCAAAUCUUCUCCUUAGCUGCCUCUGUCACAGCUACAUAUUCAGCCCAGUAGUUGAGAGUGAAACGUGAUUUUGCAACAUUGAUCUCCAACUCACAACUGUACCCCCAAUACAAAAUAUGUACCCUGAGGUGCUCCUGCUGAUGUCUAGAUUCCCUCCAAGAUCAUAGUCACAACUCACAAUACCCAAUCAAUUCAACUGAUUUCUUUGUGAAACAUAGGCCUACAUUCAGGGAAUUUUGUAAGUACCUCAGAAUCCGCUUGACAGCCUUCCAAUGCUCUUUACCAGGAUUUGACAUGAAUCUACUUACCACUCCCUUGCAUGGAAGAUAUCUGGUCUUGUACAAAUCAUUGCAUACAUCAGACUACCCACAACUGAUGCAUAAGGUAUUGUUUUCAUUUAUUCUUCCUCUUCUACUGUCUUAGGUGACUGGUUCUUGGUCAGCUUCUUGGAUUCUGCACCAAGAGGCAAAUCAGUCCUCAAAUUUCCACACUGAAAUCUGUCCAGUAAUUUCUGCAAAUAUUUUUCUGGUUCAGAUUGAUGCAACCAACAGAUCUAUAAAUUCUCAUCCCUAGAAUUUGCUUAGCUUCUCCUAGGUCCUUCAUUUCAAAUUUCUUGAACAGUUGGGCUUUGAGAAGCUUUAUUUCAGAAAUGUUUGGACUAGCAAUGAGCAUAUCAUCUACAAAGAUGAUCAAAAUUAUAGUAGUUCUUCCAUUCCACCUUUGAUAGCAGCAGUGAUCAGAAUCUGCUCUUUUAAAUUCCAUGGUACUCAUGAAGUUGUCAAACUUCUUAUACCACUGUCUUGGGGCUUGUUUAAAGCUAUAAAGAUUUUGCACCUGUUGAAAACCCUUCACUACCAACCUUGCUUUGUGUUUCUUCUUCCCAUCAACCUCUUCUGUUUUGCAGUGCUUUCUUACCCCUAGGUAAGCUUGUCAGACUCCAAAUGUUAUUCUUCUCCAAAGAUUUUAGUUCCUCCUUGAUGGUUUUUUCCCACUGGAUUGAAUUACCAUCCUUGAGUGCUUCUUUGUAAGAUUCAGGCUCUCCAUCUAUCAACAACAGAAAGUUUAUUGCUGGAGAUGGAUCAAGUCUGACCAAGGUUCCGGAUGUGCGCGCAUAUGCGAUGAUGCGCCCCCAGAGGGAGAUGCGCCGGAUCCGGGUCGGAUCCGGGUAAAAUCCGACCCGGAUCCAGACCUGUUUUAAGUUAUUUAAAUAACUUAAAACAGUGUUUUGUUUUUAUUUUAAAAAAAAUGCCAAAUUUUUUAUUUUAAGACCUUAUAAAUUUUUAGCAUAAAAAUUUAUACAUUGGUCCAUGAAAAGAGCUAUAUUAUUUUUAAUAUGAGCUCCUCCCACUCUUUAGACUUCAUAUUUGUUUUAGACAAAAUGAAUCUUUAUUUAUAGACCAACCUUCUUUGUGUUUUUUGAAUUCUAUCGAUGUGGGACUAAAAAAGUGUGGUUAAAUAAAUUAUUAUUAUAGAGUAUUUUUUAUGUUGUAGGUGUAUUAAAGAAGGCCCAGCCCAGCCCAUUACGUUAUUAUUUUUUAAAAGUCUCUUGGGUUAUUUAUUAUUUUCUUUUUAUAAAAGCCUCUCUUUUAUAAGUUUAAAGAAACCCUAGCCAUUUAUAGAGCUAUAUUAUUACGAAAAUACCCCUAAAUGGUUAACCGGUUUUUUAACCUUGGUGUUACAAUGAAUUAUAGGGUGUUAAAAUAAUUAAUAAAUAUAUGUAUUAUAAUAAUUUUUCUAUCCAAUAUAUUUUUAACUAAAAAAUUUAAUUAAUAUAAUUUAGAUAUAUAAAAAAAUAUUAAUUUCCUAUAGUUUUAUAAAUAUUUACGAAAAUACCACUGGUGCAUCUGAGCGCAUAUACACGCCAUAUGCUCAGAUGCUCCAGGUGGCGGCACAUCGCGCAGAGGCGCAUCCGGAACCUUGAGUCUGACUGGUGGUCUUGAUACUCUAGUUAACCUCCUCACAAAAUGUGAAGUGUGUGAGGAGUCACCAAAGAAUUGUUCUUCUGGAACAACCACUUCAUAAUGGUCUGUUGUUGUUUCUUCCCCAACACAAUCCUCCACCCUAUCCUCAGAGUCCACCUCAUCAGCCACAACCUCUUCACUUACAAUUUGACCCCCUUCAUCUCUGUCAGAUUCACCUUCUUCUUCUGGUAUCAUGUCAUAAAAAUUGGAUUUUACAUUGAUAUCCCCAGAAGUAGUUGCCAUGUGGUUGUAGAGGUCAGAUUCCACAAACAUGAUAUUUUUAGAUCUUACCACCUCAUUGGUUUCAGGAUUCCAACACCUUUAACCAAAUAAAUUUAUACCAAAACCAAGUAGAUACAUCUUUGUAGAUUUUGCAUCUAACUUAUCCCUUUUCUCUUUGAAUUUCAAGACAAAAGUUGCACACCCAAAAAUCUUCAGAUGCUCCAAACUGUCCUCUUUAUCACUCCACACCUCCUGUAGAAUUUUAAAGUCUAGUGGUACUAAUGGUGUCAAAUUAAUCAAGUAGACAGCAGUUGUAACAGCCUCUUCCCAAAAUAUUUUUGGGAAACCAGAGUGCACCAACAUACUUCUUGCUCUCCUACAAAUGGUCUGGUUCAUUCUUUCAGUCAUUCCAUUCUAUUGAGGGGUCCCUUGCAACUGUUCUCUGCCUAAUUAUGCCACUGUCCUCAUAGUAUUUCUUGAUUUCAGAACUAUCAUAUUCCCCUCCAUUGUCUGACCUUAGGCAUUUAUUUUGCAUCCAGAUUGAGUUUCAACCUCUGAUAUCCACUUCUUGAAAACAGAAAAAACAUCAGAUUUAUUUUUGAUGCAAAAAAUCCAUACCUUCCUGCUGUGAUCAUCUAUGAAGGUGGCAAAGUAUCUGGCACCUCCAAGUGACUCCACAAAUGCUGGCCCCCACACAUCUGAGUGAAUAAGCUCUAAAUUCUGAUUCUUUGUAGACUUCUUCUUCUUCAGAAAUUUUACAGCCUUUUGCUUGCCAUAGAUGCAUUCCUCACAAACACCUAAGUUAAUUGAUUUUAACUUAGGGAAUUUUCCUGCUGCCUGUAACAAUUUCAGACCCUUCUCACUGAUGUAUCCCAUCCUUCUAUGCCAAAGAGUGGCAUCAACAUCCUUUGUUACAGUAACAAUCACUCUAUCUUCUACAAAAGAAGGAACAAGAUAGAGAGUUCCUGUUUUGGAACCUUUGGCAACUGCUCUCACACCUUUGCCACCUUCCAAGAAUUUUCAGAAAAUGUGGAGUGGUAACCUUCUUUGUCCAGCUGACUGACUGAAAUUAGUUGCCUGGGCAGACCUGGGAUAUAUUUUACUUCUUUUAAAAUCCAAGGACCAAGUCCAGUCCUUUAAUGCAUGGUGAAGAUAGCUCGUUAGAUGAUCCCGAAGCUAUGAAAACAGAUCGACUGAGAGAUGAAGUUUUGAACGAUGCCAAGAUCUGUCUUCAGAAGGCUAGUGUAAGGAUGAAGUCAGCUGAUUUGAGUAGGGAAAAGCAAAUCUACAAGGUUAGAGACAUGGUCUUGGUCAAAUUAAAAAGAUAUCGGCAAGGUACUGCAGCACAGAGGAAAUCGAACAAGCUUGAGAGGCGGUACUUUGAGCCGUUUACCAUUACAGAAAAGAUAAAUGAGGUAACCAUUCGUUUGGGGUUCCUAACAGAGGUAAAAAUCCACAACGUAUUCCACUCUUCAUUGUUUAAGUCAUCCGUUGAAGGAGAUGACGAGAUCUCGAUGGAGCUACCAGAUGACUUAGUCGAGUCCGAGGACGUUCUCAAAGCUAAGGGGACGGAAGAUGAUAUAUCCGUGCUCCCGGCGAAACGUUGGCGAUACACUCAGGCGGCCCAUGCAGAUUAUGUUGUCGAUUAUGGAGUCGACACGUAACUGCAGAAGAAACCCUAGUGUUGAUUUAUUAUAAUAAUUGUUACAUGAAGGAUGAUUCUAUAAAAUCAUCCAUGCACGUACAGUCGUACACUACAUGUAAUACUACUAAUAAUAGAUACUACUAAUAAUUGAGUACCAUGAUAGCCACUACACCCAUGCGUGUAUCCCCUUGUUCCAACGCACAUGGAGUGAAUCUAUACUUAGUAAACUCUUAUUUUUAUUAAUAAGGCAAUUGUUGAGUAUCAAUUAUUUUCGUUGAUAUUUCGUUAUUUGCUUCUAAUUUUUUGUUAUUUUUCUACCGUCAAUCAUCCAAACCCCAUCAGUCACUAACAUCUUGAAUAUCUUAAUACUGCUGAAGAUAUAAACAGUUGACCAAAAGAACUCUUCACAGAACUACAGAAGAUUGCAAAGCAUAAUUAAAUCUUUAUGUAGAAUUUGUAGUAACUAGUAAGUGAAAAAUAUAAUGGACAAAAGUUGUUAAUAUUAUGACAGCAUGGCUUAUGAUGAAUGCAGUUUGAUCCAAGUCAUCCAACACAAGAGUGAUAAGUUGAUUAUGUUCUGUUAAAUCACAAUUCUUAAUAGCGUGAUGCUAAUAAUGUUCUCAAAAGUUAUAUAUCGAAAACCUCUUACCUCAUCUUCCUUUAAAAAUUCAAAUCAUAUUGCAUUUUCCAAACUAAUGAGUAUCCAGUUGGUACCUAAACCCCUAAAAAAUUAUCAACAACAAAAAAGUAUUAAAACUACAAAUUUAGACUACGAUCCACCGGUAUUAUAAAAUUAGACAUUGACUAUAAAAUCGUAACCAGUCAUGCGGAAAACCCUAGAAAUAAAGCCAAAAGAGAUUUAUCAUCUGACAUCGAAGAUGACAGUCCAUCGAUCCCUGGGAAGAGUCGGAAAAGGUGAAAAAAAUACGAUUCGAUUAUCGGAAAUAGAAACAAACCUCGCCGAGUUGCUGCCGGUGAAAGAACCUUCCACACCACACAGUUCCACUCGAUUCGAUUGUCGGUGUCUUCUAUCGUUAAAUAAUCCGAAACAUUCUGUUAAACGAAUGUAUUCGAAUAUUCUAUUCUUCCUUCCAUCAGACAUUUUAUUUAUUUUGGGUUAAUUACACAAAUAUUU
rnacentral:lncRNA from 1 species